CAGAGCCAGAAGCCAUGAUCGAGGAGGAGCUAGCUCUGUAGUCUCUAUGGGUUUCUUGAUCACCCCUGUCCAAUAAAUAAAUACAACAAGGCACAAGGUAAAAAGACAGGUACUGCGAAAGUCAGAUGAUUUGGAACAAUAAGCACAUUGUUGAGCAGUGCAAGGGAGGCUUUUGCUACUAAUGGUAUUGGUACCCAAAAGCUCAAAAGAUGAAACUCAUGGAGAAAGAUGACAGAUCAACAGUCAAGAGAAAAGAUGAAAGGCAAGUUAUAUCAAGUAUGAACCCAAAAUCUCAAUCACUAUUGCCUAGGUAAGUAUAGGAGUAGUAUAGUUUGAAACACUUUGCUUCUUCAGGAAUGGGUGUGCAAUGGUAAUAUCUUUUGGGCUGUGGACAAUGGACAGGACAUGGUGUACAGCAAGUUGGAGAUACUUGACAGCUUUCCUUUGCUUCCAUAGCUAGUGCAUGAUGUAAAAUGUGGCAAGAUGAUGUAAGCAAGAAAUAAAUGAACUGCAGUUCUUUUCUGAUUU